rnacentral:rRNA from 1 species
UAGGGAAUAUUGCACAAUGGGCGAAAGCCUGAUGCAGCAACGCCGCGUGCGCGAAGAAGGCCUUCGGGUCGUAAAGCGCUUUUCGGGGAGAUGAGGAAGGACAGUAUCCCCGGAAUAAGGCUCGGCUAACUACGUGCCAGCAGCCGCGGUAAAACGUAGGAGCCAAGCGUUAUCCGAAUUCACUGGGCGUAAAGCGCGUGCAGGCGGUCUGGUAAGUUGGAUGUGAAAGCUCCUGGCUCAACUGGGAGAGGACGUUCAAUACUGCUAGGCUAGAGGGCGGCAGAGGGAGGUGGAAUUCCCGGUGUAGUGGUGAAAUGCGUAGAUAUCGGGAGGAACACCAGUGGCGAAGGCGACCUUCUGGGCCGCACCUGACGCUCAGACGCGAAAGCUAGGGGAGCAAACGGGAUUAGACACCCCGGUAGUCCUAGCUGUAAACGAUGUAGACUUGGUGUCGGUGGGUUAAAAGCCGCCGGUGCCGAAGCCAACGCGAUAAGUCUACCGCCUGGGGACUACGGCCGCAAGGUUA